rnacentral:rRNA from 1 species
UUUGGACGACCGCUGGCGUUUUGCUUAACACAUGCAAGUCGAGCGCACCUCGGGGUGAGCGGCGGACGGCCUAGUAACGCGUGGGAACGUACCCUUCUCUAAGGAAUAGUCUCGGGAAACUGGCGGUAAUACCUUAUACGCCCUUCGGGGGAAAGAUUUAUCGGAGAAGGAUCGGCCCGCGUUAGAUUAGAUAGUUGGUGGGGUAAUGGCCUACCAAGUCUACGAUCUAUAGCUGGUUUUAGAGGAUGAUCAGCAACACUGGGACUGAGACACGGCCCAGACUCCUACGGGAGGCAGCAGUGGGGAAUCUUAGACAAUGGGCGCAAGCCUGAUCUAGCCAUGCCGCGUGAGUGAUGAAGGUCUUAGGAUCGUAAAGCUCUUUCGCUGGGGAAGAUAAUGACUGUACCCAGUAAAGAAACCCCGGCUAACUCCGUGCCAGCAGCCGCGGUAAUACGGAGGGGGUUAGCGUUGUUCGGAAUUACUGGGCGUAAAGCGUACGUAGGCGGAUUAGCAAGUAUGGGGUGAAAUCCCGGGGCUCAACCCCGGAACUGCCUCAUAAACUGCUAGUCUAGAGUUCGAGUGAGGUGAGUGGAAUUCCGAGUGUAGAGGUGAAAUUCGUAGAUAUUCGGAGGAACACCAGUGGCGAAGGCGGCUACUG